rnacentral:rRNA from 1 species
UUUAUGGAGAGUUUGAUCCUGGCUCAGAGUGAACGCUGGCGGCGUGCCUAAUACAUGCAAGUCGAACGAUGAAGCUUCUAGCUUGCUAGAAUGCUGAUUAGUGGCGCACGGGUGAGUAACGCAUAGGUUAUGUGCCUCUUAGUUUGGGAUAGCCAUUGGAAACGAUGAUUAAUACCAGAUACUCCCUACGGGGGAAAGAUUUAUCGCUAAGAGAUCAGCCUAUGUCCUAUCAGCUUGUUGGUAAGGUAAUGGCUUACCAAGGCUAUGACGGGUAUCCGGCCUGAGAGGGUGAACGGACACACUGGAACUGAGACACGGUCCAGACUCCUACGGGAGGCAGCAGUAGGGAAUAUUGCUCAAUGGGGGAAACCCUGAAGCAGCAACGCCGCGUGGAGGAUGAAGGUUUUAGGAUUGUAAACUCCUUUUGUUAGAGAAGAUAAUGACGGUAUCUAACGAAUAAGCACCGGCUAACUCCGUGCCAGCAGCCGCGGUAAUACGGAGGGUGCAAGCGUUACUCGGAAUCACUGGGCGUAAAGAGCGUGUAGGCGGGAUAGUCAGUCAGGUGUGAAAUCCUAUGGCUUAACCAUAGAACUGCAUUUGAAACUACUAUUCUAGAGUGUGGGAGAGGUAGGUGGAAUUCUUGGUGUAGGGGUAAAAUCCGUAGAGAUCAAGAGGAAUACUCAUUGCGAAGGCGACCUGCUGGAACAUUACUGACGCUGAUUGCGCGAAAGCGUGGGGAGCAAACAGGAUUAGAUACCCUGGUAGUCCACGCCCUAAACGAUGGAUGCUAGUUGUUGGAGGGCUUAGUCUCUCCAGUAAUGCAGCUAACGCAUUAAGCAUCCCGCCUGGGGAGUACGGUCGCAAGAUUAAAACUCAAAGGAAUAGACGGGGACCCGCACAAGCGGUGGAGCAUGUGGUUUAAUUCGAAGAUACACGAAGAACCUUACCUAGGCUUGACAUUGAGAGAAUCCGCUAGAAAUAGUGGAGUGUCUAGCUUGCUAGACCUUGAAAACAGGUGCUGCACGGCUGUCGUCAGCUCGUGUCGUGAGAUGUUGGGUUAAGUCCCGCAACGAGCGCAACCCCCUUUCUUAGUUGCUAACAGGUCAUGCUGAGAACUCUAAGGAUACUGCCUCCGUAAGGAGGAGGAAGGUGGGGACGACGUCAAGUCAUCAUGGCCCUUACGCCUAGGGCUACACACGUGCUACAAUGGGGUGCACAAAGAGAAGCAAUACUGCGAAGUGGAGCCAAUCUUCAAAACGCCUCUCAGUUCGGAUUGUAGGCUGCAACUCGCCUGCAUGAAGCUGGAAUCGCUAGUAAUCGCAAAUCAGCCAUGUUGCGGUGAAUACGUUCCCGGGUCUUGUACUCACCGCCCGUCACACCAUGGGAGUUGUGUUUGCCUUAAGUCAGGAUGCUAAAUUGGCUACUGCCCACGGCACACACAGCGACUGGGGUGAAGUCGUAACAAGGUAACCGUAGGUGAACCUGCGGUUGGAUCACCUCCUUU